rnacentral:rRNA from 1 species
UUAUUUUAUAAAUUUAUUUAAUGGGUAGUAAAAGUUAUGUUCUUGAAACUCAAAAAUUUUGGCGGUAUUUUAUUCUAUUCAGAGGAACUUGUCCUAUAAUUGAUAAUCCACGUUGGACCUUUCUUUAAUUUGUUAAAUUUAUAUAUCGUCGUUAUAAGAGGUUUUUAUAAGAAUAUUAAAUUUCUAGAAUUAUUAUAUUAAUUUAUAUCAGAUAAAGGUGUAGUUUAUGUUAAAGUAGAUGAUGAGUUACAAUAAAUUUAUUUAUACGGAUAUAAAAUUGAAAUUUAAUUUAUUGAAGGUGGAUUUGAUAGUAAAUUUAUAUAGAUUAAUAAAUUGAUAUUAGUUCUAAAAUGUGUAC